UUGAAUGUAAAUUAGAACUGAAUAGCCAAGAAUGAAAGAAAAUCAAACCUUGCUAACCAAAAGAAACUAUUAUCAGACUAUAGCAUUGCUCAGAGGUAUACCACACAGGACUUCGCCUAAGUCACGGGCAUGCGUGUCAAUACUACAGUUCAGAUAAAAUAAAAGCGAAACCAAAAACAAUAAAGUGUAAAUUAUCAUGAUCUACCAUAGCAUUGCUCAGAGGUAUACCACACAGGACUUCGCCUAAGUCACGGGCAUGCGUGUCAAUACUACGGUUCAGAU